rnacentral:rRNA from 1 species
UGCCGGUGUGAGUAGCGAAAGACGGGUGAGAAUCCCGUCCACCGAUUGACUAAGGUUUCCAGAGGAAGGCUCGUCCGCUCUGGGUUAGUCGGGUCCUAAGCUGAGGCCGACAGGCGUAGGCGAUGGAUAACAGGUUGAUAUUCCUGUACCACCUAUAAUCGUUUUAAUCGAUGGGGGGACGCAGUAGGAUAGGCGAAGCGUGCGAUUGGAUUGCACGUCUAAGCAGUAAGGCUGAGUAUUAGGCAAAUCCGGUACUCGUUAAGGCUGAGCUGUGAUGGGGAGAAGACAUUGUGUCUUCGAGUCGUUGAUUUCACACUGCCGAGAAAAGCCUCUAGAUAGAAAAUAGGUGCCCGUACCGCAAACCGACACAGGUAGUCAAGAUGAGAAUUCUAAGGUGAGCGAGCGAACUCUCGUUAAGGAACUCGGCAAAAUGACCCCGUAACUUCGGGAGAAGGGGUGCUCUUUAGGGUUAACGCCCAGAAGAGCCGCAGUGAAUAGGCCCAAGCGACUGUUUAUCAAAAACACAGGUCUCUGCUAAACCGUAAGGUGAUGUAUAGGGGCUGACGCCUGCCCGGUGCUGGAAGGUUAAGAGGAGUGGUUAGCUUCUGCGAAGCUACGAAUCGAAGCCCCAGUAAACGGCGGCCGUAACUAUAACGGUCCUAAGGUAGCGAAAUUCCUUGUCGGGUAAGUUCCGACCCGCACGAAAGGCGUAACGAUUUGGGCACUGUCUCAACGAGAGACUCGGUGAAAUCAUAGUACCUGUGAAGAUGCAGGUUACCCGCGACAGGACGGAAAGACCCCGUGGAGCUUUACUGUAGCCUGAUAUUGAAAUUCGGCACAGCUUGUACAGGA